CCGUUAAGUUGGUAGAGAAGAACGUUAGGUGUAGAGUGGAAAGCUCAUCAAGUGACGGUAACGUACCCAGAAAGGGACGGCGUAACUACGUGCCAGCAGCCGCGGUAAUACGUAGGUCCCGAGCGUUGUCCGGAGUUUAUUGGGCGUAAAGCGAGCGCAGGCGGUUUGAUAAGUCUGAAGUUUAAAGGCUGUGGCUCAACCAUAGUUCGCUUUGGAAACUGUCAAACUUGAGUGCAGAAGGGGAGAGUGGAAUUCCAUGUGUAGCGGUGAAAUGCGUAGAUAUAUGGAGGAACACCGGUGGCGAAAGCGGCUCUCUGAUCUGUAACUGACGCUGAGGCUCGAAAGCGUGGGGAGCGAACAGGAUUAGAUACCCUGGUAGUCCACGCCGUAAACGAUGAGUGCUAGGUGUUGGAUCCUUUCCGGGAUUCAGUGCCGCAGCUAACGCAUUAAGCACUCCGCCUGGGGAGUACGACCGCAAGGUUGAAACUCAAAGGAAUUGACGGGGGCCCGCACAAGCGGUGGAGCAUGUGGUUUAAUUCGAAGCAACGCGAAGAA
rnacentral:rRNA from 1 species